GAAAAAAUCUGCUGACUGUAGGCUCAGCCAACCCAGGUCCUGAACUCAUGAAAGCCUCAUGUGGCAAAACAGUGGAAGUCUGAAGCCCGCUGAGAUGCGUGGGAUCAGUACCUUGACCCCUAGUCACACCGUACACCAGUGUUUCUAUUGAGUGCGGAGCACAAGGGAAUAGUAGCAGGAUUUGGGAGAAACUAUAACAGGGGCAGAAGAUACGGUCACCUCCAUGGAGAAAGAGCAUUCUUAAAUCACCAGAUCAAGGGAAUUUAACCAGUUCUGCUCUGAGUAGGGCAAGGUGAGGAAUCAAGGCACGAAGCAGAUGAUGUCCCCUGAAACAGCUAGUUAAGUGCCAGGGUUCGUAUUUAGCCCAGGAGACUGGCUUUAGAACCUGAGCAUUCAACAGCCAGCUAAUUCUGCUAAAUUAUUACAGUUGUGGCUGGAAGACAGGGGAGAUUUAAAUCCGUGUUAUGGACUUCAACAUAUUGUUAGAAAAGACUCUUCAACCCUACGUUCGUCUGAAGAUAGGCAGGCUUACAUUGAAAAAGAAUUAAGAUCUUCACGGGAGAGUGGCCGUAUGAUCUAUCAUCUAAACUGGGACACGUCCAAAAGGAAAAAGCUAUUAAUAACUUCACCAGGAAAACUGGGACAUAUGGUCGUCCUACUCACAGGACAAGUUUCAGCCUUCAAGACCUGCAGAGCGCUGCGGAAGUUGUAGAUCGCCGUACCCGUUACACACGAACACACGUGUAUUGCUGUUGUCUUCUCUAGACGAGGUGUCUGUCUUUGAUGGGCAACUUGAAGGAUUUUCAAGGAUAAUUUUGGCUGUGCCUGCCUUACCCCUGGGUGAUAGAAUUUAACCCCUAUACAGAACCCAUCCCAUAGAGACAGGUAAAGCAUUUUUCUAACAAGUUCUCUUUAUGGAGCAGGUUAGCCAAUUUGUAGAAAAACGUUUUUGAGAGUUUCUGUAUGAACUGAUAACUUUUGAUUUCCUUCAAGAAUUAGUAUGAAUUUCAAACAAAUGAGGUUUGCAAAGAGUUUUUUUUAAACUGUAAGUAGAUGAAUACAUUUCUUUAGAUAAAGUCCUCCAUUCACUGAA